rnacentral:sRNA from 1 species
GCUGGGUUCGGUAGCCCACACCUGUAAUCCUAGACGCUCAGGAGGCUGAGGCAGGAGGAUGGCAAGUUCAAGGCCAGCUUCUGCAACUUAGUGAGACCCUGUCUCAA